rnacentral:SRP_RNA from 1 species
GCUGGGUGUGGUGGCGGGCACCUGUAAUCCCAGCUACUCGGGAGGCUGAGGCAGGAGAAUCACUUGAACCCAGGUGGAGGUUGCAGUGAGCUGGGCUCACGCCACUGCACUCCAGCCUGGGCGACAGAGUGAGAGUCUGUCUCAA